UCAUCUGGGAUGAAGAAGCCUUCGUGCUCACCCUGACUGCAGACCUUUUUUAGCAAGGUCUGAACACACAGGAGCAUCAAUCGGACUCUGGACUUCUUAAACUGCAGUAGACACAGACACGUUCACUGAACAAAGGCUCCAGAGCCAUGAAGGGCGGAGCUUGGAUGGGAUAGGGAUCAACAGGGUGGAGAUUCCUGAGGGAAAAACAUCCCCUACUCCUCCAUUGCUCCAUUUCCCUGCCUUCUGGCAACUGCUCAAAUCUCUUCACUCCAGGUGGAGCUUUCCCACUUCCCACCCCAGUCAGCCUCAGGCCACAUGGCUCUCCUCUCCAGCCCGUGGAUGCUUUCUUCACCUUCCUUUUCCAUAGCUCUAUUUAGCCUCUCUUGGUUUCCUCACAAGUCCUUUCCCCAUGGCCAGGGAGGGCUGCUAUGGAGCCAAGGGACAUCCUCCUGGCCAUGUGUGAAGAGCAAUGGCAUUUUAUGUCGGAAUCCUCCCACCUGUACUGAGCCUACUUCAGCCACUGGUGCCCCUUUCUGCCUGGUGACCACAGAUCCCACAGGAGACGGUCCAUCAUCUGAUCCCUGUGCCUGACACUUGUCCAUGGCAGCAUAGUGAGGAUGUGAAUUGGACUCUGUUUGAGUG
rnacentral:lncRNA from 1 species